UUAUGAUGAGAAAUUGUUUCCUGGGGGAGAGGGGUUGCAUCCUGAGCUGUGAGGGCUCUGACGGGAAACUGGUUCUUUCCACAAAAGUCCUGGCUUUUCCUCAGCUUCUUCAUGUGCGUCCAAAGCAAGAGGGAAAAAAGAGGGAGAAAGGGGAAUCAGGAAGAAUUUCCAGCUUCAAGGACAUAAAAGCUCUCCUCUCCUUGCGUUGGAGGGCUGCUGCUCCCUCUGUAUAGUCACCCUUCUCCUUUCGCCUGGACAACUUCUCCUCAUUUUUAAGAUGCAUCAAGAUAGAACUCACGGCCGGCAGAUUACUUGAGCCCAGGAGGUCCCGGACCAGCCUGGGCAACAUGACGAAGCCCCAUCUCUACAAAAAACACAGAAGCUAUCCAGGUGUAGUGGCACACGUCUGUGGUCCCAGUUACUCAGGAGGCUGAGAUUGGCACCAACGCAGCUCUUCAAGAUGGCUCCUGGCUUCCUUUGGAAUCCAAUCAUCAGACCUCCCAGAUAAUAUCAAGGAAUUGAAACUCAGCAGCUGGACAAUGAGGAACCAGGCUUCUCACCCAUCAUGGUUGCCUAACCAACCACCUGCUUCCUGUUGACCAACUUCUCUUAUUUAUCAUUCCCCCCCAUCCUGUUUUCCUGUAUGUAGUUACAUUUCUGCUAUGAAAACUCCUAAUUUUAGUUGAUCAGGGAGAUAGAUUUGAGACUCAUCUCUCAUCUCCUCAGCUGCA